UGGGGAAUUUUGGACAAUGGGCGAAAGCCUGAUCCCAGCAAUGCCGCGUGUGUGAAGAAGGCCUUCGGGUUGUAAAGCACUUUUUGUCCGGAAAGAAAUCCUUGGCUCUAAUACAGUCGGGGGAUGACGGUACCGGAAGAAUAAGCACCGGCUAACUACGUGCCAGCAGCCGCGGUAAUACGUAGGGUGCAAGCGUUAAUCGGAAUUACUGGGCGUAAAGCGUGCGCAGGCGGUUUGCUAAGACCGAUGUGAAAUCCCCGGGCUCAACCUGGGAACUGCAUUGGUGACUGGCAGGCUAGAGUAUGGCAGAGGGGGGUAGAAUUCCACGUGUAGCAGUGAAAAUGCGUAGAGAUGUGGAGGAAUACCGAUGGCGAAGGCAGCCCCCUGGGCCAAAUACUGACGCUCAUGCACGAAAAGCGUGGGGAGCAAAACAGGAUUAGAUACCCUGGUAGUCCACGCCCUAAAACGAUGUCAACUAGUUGUUGGGGAUUCAUUUCCUUAGUAACGUAGCUAACGCGUGAAGUUGACCGCCUGGGGAGUACGGUCGCAAGAUUAAAACUCAAAGGAAUUGAACGGGGUCAUAGCUGUUUCC
rnacentral:rRNA from 1 species